ensembl:lncRNA
GGGGAGAGGAAAGUUCAGGGAGGUGUUCAUCUUUUCCUUCUCCUCCCUCUCUCCUCCCCACCCCCAGCCCCAUACCAGCCCCCUCAGCCCCAACCCCAGGUCUGUUUUCUCUGCAAGCUGUCUCCCACCUCGCCUUUGCUCCCAGAGCACAAACAGGCGCACGUACCCUGGACGUGCUCUUCUCCGCUGUCACACGAGUGCCCUUCUAGAAGACAUGUGACCCGGGAGCAGACUGGCCACGCGCUCUUUUCCGGACUCUGGAGCCAUAUAACUUGCCUGUAGUUUGCCCGUUCACAUGAUGCGAGGAAGGGGCAGCGGUUUGCACCGAGUUUCCAGGGACCUUCGGAAUCUGUAGGUCUCCUGGCAGGGAGCUCUCUUGAUCACCCAAGCUGGACUGCCUUCUUUGAGGAUACCUAAAUAAAAAGGAGAAGGUGGCAAUGGAUGUUGGGGAGCCAAUCUAGAGUCGGCUACAGGAGCUCAGGGAUGAUGUCUCAGGAAAAAAAAAAGGAGACAUUUAAAACUGAAGAUGAGUAAGCGUCAGCCAGGAGUGAGGAGGACACAACUUCAGGCAGACCGAAAUCCUGUGUGCAGUCUGACUGUGCCACGUGUUACAGACAUAGCAAGACUGUAAACCAGGAAGAGAGUCCUCAUUAAGAACUGAAUCAGCCAGCACCUUGAUCUUGACUUCCAGCCUCCAGAAAUGUAAGAGAUACAUUUCUACUGUUUAAACCACCCAGUCUAUGGCAUUUUGUUAUGGCAGCCUGAGUUGACUAAUAUAGACUCUAUCAUGGGUGAAGAAAAUCAACAUUUUUAAAUUAGGAUAAGGGAAGAAUACUUCGUAAAAUAGUAGGUGAAUGUGCUUUUCAGUGUCUUCUUGCUCUUAUUGUUUACUUGUUUGUUUUUCAGAAGUAGAGCUCUCUGUAUGGUCCAAGAGUAGAUUAUUCAAUAAAAAGCAAGAAGCUAGUUUGUAAUUGAGGAGAAGGCAAUGGCAACCCACUCCAGUACUCUUGCCUGGAAACUCCCAUGGACGGAGGAGCCCAGUAGGCUGCAGUCCGUGGGGUCGCUAAGAGUUGGACACGACUGAGCGACUUCACUUUCACUUUUCACUUUCAUGCAUUGGAGAAGGAAAUGGCAACCCACUCCAGUGUUCUUGCCUGGAGAAUUCCAGGGACGGGGGAUCCUGGUGGGCUGCCGUCUAUGGGGUCGAACAGAGUCGGACACGACUGAAGCGACUUAGCAGCAGCAGCAGCAGUGUGUAAUUGACAUAUAACUCUUUACAAGAUCUCCUAUGUUCUUGGGAAGUCCAACCUGUGCUUCUGACCCCUAGAAUAGCAGCUAGGCUUAUGUCUCUUAUUUACAUUACCCACUAACCCCUGGCCUUGUUUCCUUGAUCUAGCUCAAAUUGCUCUUUGCAAUUCCCAUGCAGGACCUGUUGAAGCUGCUGAGGGUACUAUACAUUUACAAAUCUCAUGGGAUUGCUGAAGAUAGGGAAAGUAAGUCCAUGUGAACACUGCGGUUGUUUGAACCCUGAUGUCAGAUUCAUUUUUAUCCUCCCAGCUGGGAAUACAAUAAAAAUGUUCUAGACAAAAGAUAAUGUUUGUUUCUUCUCAUAAGAGUCACAGCAGACAAAAUAGCUGGGUCUGGGUGAGAACUGAAAGAGUCAUAGCAGAAUCACAAAGAUAGAAAUAGAUUAACAAACGUUAAGAUUUCUGGAGCACACACUAUACAAUGGGCACUCUGCGGGCAUCAAGCAGUAGAAGCUGACCCUGAAUAUGGUGUAAGAUGACAUCAUGAAGCAGCACAGCACAAAAUCAAUCAACUUGUAUUUAUUCAACCCGAGCUAUGCUCAUGGCGUCAUACUUGAUGCUAUGGCAUACACUCAAUCUCUGUACAUGCAAGUAUACACACAUACAUACUGGUGAUAAAAAAUAACAGCAAAUUGAAUGGAAAGCUGUUAAACUUACAUGGAGACAAUAAUUUUUUCCUCACAGCCAUUUGGGGAUGGGGUUGUUGUUGUUCAGCCUCUAAGCUGUCUGACUCUUUGGGACCCCAUAGACUGCAGCAUGCCAGGUUCCCCUAUCCUUCACUAUCUCCCACUUUGCUCAAGUUCAUGUCCCUUGAGUCAGGGAUGGUAUCUAACCAUCUCAUUCUCUGCCGCCUUCUUCUUCUCCUGUCUUCAAUCUUGCUCAGCAUCAGGGUUUUUUCCAAUGAUGGUUCUUUCCAACUCUUUGCACCAGGUGGCCAAAAGUAUUGGAGCUUCAGCACCAGUCCUUCCAAUGAAUCUUCAAGGUGGAUUUCCUUUAGCAUUGACUUGCUUGAUUUCCUUGCUGUCCAAUGCACUCUCAAGAGUCUUCUCCAACACCACAACUGGGGGAUGGGGAGUGAGGAUUAAAUGGAAAGCAAAGUACUUCAGAGCUCCAGACAAACUUGGGCUUGACUCCCUGCUCUGCUGCUUAUGAGAUAACCUUAGGUGAAAGAAUCCAAAAAUCUUGCGAGCAAAAUAAAAC